UACGAAGGUGGCAAGCGUUGUUCGGAUUUACUGGGCGUACAGGGUGCGUAGGCGGUCUGGUAAGCCCUCCGGGAAAUCUCCGGGCUUAACCCGGAAAGUGCGGAGGGAACUGCUAGGCUAGAGGACGGGAGAGGAGCGCGGAAUUCCCGGUGUAGCGGUGAAAUGCGUAGAGAUCGGGAGGAAGGCCGGUGGCGAAGGCGGCGCUCUGGAACGUUCCUGACGCUGAGGCACGAAAGCGUGGGGAGCAAACAGG
rnacentral:rRNA from 1 species